rnacentral:rRNA from 1 species
UACAGAGGGUGCAAGCGUUGUUCGGAAUUAUUGGGCGUAAAGGGUGCGUAGGCGGGUCUUUAAGUCAGGGGUGAAGUCCUGGAGCUCAACUCCAGAACUGCCUUUGAUACUGAAGAUCUUGAGUUCGGGAGAGGUGAGCGGAACUGCGAGUGUAGAGGUGAAAUUCGUAGAUAUUCGCAAGAACACCAGUGGCGAAGGCGGCUCACUGGCCCGAUACUGACGCUGAGGCACGAAAGCGUGGGGAGCAAACAGG